GCGGCCGUAGCUCAGAGGGAGAGCACCACCUUGACACGGUGGGGGUCAUAGGUUCGAUUCCUAUCGGCCGCACCA
rnacentral:tRNA from 1 species